AGUUUUACUUAUUAACUUAAAUUUAAAAAUAGAGAUGAUCACAAACAUUUGCACACUUAAGUGUUUAUAGAGAAAUGGCUUGAGAUACAUAGUCACAUUAAUGUUUGGGUAAACAACAGAACACACAUACUGCAGUAGUCCCAUCACAUCACAUCACAUCACCUAGUGACACGGUAGUCACCUUAGUCUAUGGAAGAACACUCCUAGGUUUGCACAAGGAAAUCUUUGAGAACACAUUUCUCAGAACAAUCUCCACUGUUAAGCAACAUAUGGCUGUUCUUUCUAAAAUCUAAGUUUUUUCUUCUUGAAUCUUAGACUUCUCAGUUAACAGUGCAAUUAAUUUAGAAAACACCCAGUUUGUUCUCACAGGCAAAACACACAAAUGCAAAAUGCACAUGAUGUUUUGAAUGGACAUUUCCUAAUUAUUUCAAGUCUUCAAUUUCCUUCAAGCUCAUGUGUUACCAUGACAUUCACACCCCAGCCAAUUCCUCCCUCAUAAUUUGCUCAACUGUCUCUAGCUCCCCUUUCCUUUCUCUGCAAUUUAGCUAGGAGAACAAAAUAAUUUAGAUGUUGAAGUGUAGGAAAUGCUGGUACGAAGUUUAUGUUUCAAGGCAAAUUUUUCCAGUCAAUUGGCUUCUCUGAAAAAUAUUUUUAGGCCCAGAUGUAAUUUGGAACUUUUCAGUGAUUUUGAAAAUUACGAGACCUUCAAAAAUCUGCUAUGGUUUACACAACUGAGGGGUAAUCUGCUUUGAGACUUAAAAUUUCCUGCUGCCAACAAAGCAAAAUGAAGGAAUAAUCCUUCAUCAGAAAACACUCCAGACUCAGUGUGGUAGAGUGGAUAUCCCAAAGCUGGCUGUAGAUAGGCUGUUGAGAGCUUUCUGGAAUAUGCCUCCCUCGCCUCUCAUGCACUCCACGAUGGAGUACGGCUCAGUUAAACAUCUCAUCUGCUCAUCCCUUGUAUUCUUAUUUUACAUACAUCGCCACGAUUAUUCCUGCUAAUAAAAACACACGCCUGUUGCAGGAAGAUAAAUAACUACCCAUACUUCCUCUGAAGUCUCGCCUGUUUACUGUCUUUUAAACAGGCAAACAUUGUUUUGUUUGUAUUUACUACUAUGCAUUUAACUAUAUGCUUGGUGUGUUUUGCUCUUUUGAGAUCAAUUCCAGGGAUUAAAUAGCUGAAAUCUAAGUUUGGCUUAGUGACUUCCAGCCUGUCUUUGGCUUGUGAUCUCUUACCCAGCUCAAGGCCAGAACUAUUUUCAUAACCUAUCCUAAUCUUUCAUUGACCUUGGACACAUUUCUCUACCUAUUACCUAACCCCUGAGAUUUGUUAAUCACAAGAAAAAUUUAUUUUUGCUCUCAUGAGGUAACCAAUGAGGUUUUCCUAGCAGAGCCAGGUGUACUGUCAGCAGACCUGACAAAACAACAAAACAGCUUCAGCCACCCAUCUGAGUCUGGCCCAUCCUCAAACUGCAUAGUCACAUGGUCUUCACCAGCAAGUCAUCUCGGAGGGUUCUCCUUUUCUAUUCUCUAACACCUAUGAAUCUCAAUGUCCAGUCACUUUUCUACAAACUGAAUAUUUUCUUAAUUCUCCUUUGUCCAUCCAGACUGUCAAAUUUUACUGGAUUCAAGAGUUAGUCAGGUUCUGGUGUUCUACUACAUGGCAAGGUGACUAUGAUUAUAAUACUGUAUCAUGUAUUUCUAAACAGCUGAGAGCUUUUUGUGUUUCUUGUUCAAGCUAAGGUUUUUAGGUGUUCUUAUGAGAAAGAAAUGAUGAGGUGAUGAUAUGCUAUCAUCCUACAAUGUGUACAUGUAUCAAAAAUCAUAUCACACCACUAAAUAUAUAAACUAUAAAAAGUUGGUCAGAAACAGCCAGUGAGUGGCUGACAUAAACUCUGCAUAAUUUAAGUAGAAGCCAUCGUUUUUCUCCUAAUGUGCCACAGGCACACUGAAUCACCUCUUCAGGGCCAAAUUAUUUUUCCUGAUUACACAAGAAAGGUAAUGCAUCAAACCAGAAAGAAGCCCAGAGCAGAUGUUUGGCGUAGGGGUGCAGACACCAGUUAAGAUGCUGCACCCCAUCGCAAAAGGCCUGGGUUUGAUUCCCAGCUCCAGCUCCUGAGUCCAGCUUCCUGCUGAUGUGUA